GACGAACGCUGACAGAAUGCUUAACACAUGCAAGUCAACUGUGGCGGACGGGUGAGUAACGCGUAAAGAACUUGCCUCACAGAUCGGGACAACCUUUGGAAACGAAUGCUAAUACCUGAUACUGUGAGACAGCUUUGCGUCCCAUUAGCUAGUUGGAGCGGUAACGGCUCACCACGGCGAUGAUGGGUAGCCGGACUGAGAGGGUGAUCGGCCACAAGGGGACUGAGACACGGCCCUUACUCCUACGGGAGGCAGCAGUGGGGAAUAGUGGACAAUGGACCAAAGUCUGAUCGAGCAAUUCUGUGUGCACGAUGAAGUUGUCGGAAUGUAAAGUGCUUUCAGUUGGGAAGCAGUACCAACAGAAGAAGUGAAGGCUAAAUACGUGACAGCAGCCGCGGUAAUAC
rnacentral:rRNA from 1 species